AACGAACGCUGGCGGCAUGCCUAACACAUGCAAGUCGAACGAGACCUUCGGGUCUAGUGGCGCACGGGUGCGUAACGCGGGGGAACCUGCCCUUAGGUUCGGAAUAACUCCCCGAAAGGGGUGCUAAUACCGGAUAAUGUCUUCGGACCAAAGAUUUAUCGGCUUUGGAUGGGCCCGCGUUGGAUUAGCUUGUUGGUAGGGUAAAAGCCUACCAAGGCGACGAUCCAUAGCUGGGAUGAGAGGAUGAUCAGCCACACUGGGACUGAGACACGGACCAGACUCCUACGGGAGGAAGCAGUGGGGAAUAUUGGACGAUGGGCGAAAGCAUGAUCCAGCAAGGCCGCGUGAGUGAUGAAGGCGUUAGGGUUGUAAAGCUCUUUUAACCGGGAUGAUAAUGACAGUACCGGGAGAAUAAGCUCCGGCUAACUACGUG
rnacentral:rRNA from 1 species